rnacentral:misc_RNA from 1 species
AAGUCGUAACAAGGUAACCGUAGGUGAACCUGCGGUUGGAUCAUUAGUGGUUUUUACGUAGCGCUGUUGUAGUGUUUCUGGGGGGUGUUGGUCUUUGGUUUUGGUUUUGGUUUUGGUGUCUUUUUGUUUGUCUGUUUUGUGCAUUGCCUUGUGCUGCCUUGUGCGGUGUCUUGUGCGGUGCCGUGGCAGUACAAACGGAUCGACGGCAACACUCGGACCAGACCCAAGAACCCUUGCAGACAAUAGACGUCUUUGCUUGCUUUGAUGAAACCAAAUCAAAAACAACUUUUGACAACGGAUCUCUUGGCUCUC